CCUACGGGAGGCAGCAGUGGGGAAUAUUGGACAAUGGGCGAAAGCCUGAUCCAGCAAUGCCGCGUGAGUGAUGAAGGCCUUAGGGUUGUAAAGCUCUUUUACCAGGGAUGAUAAUGACAGUACCUGGAGAAUAAGCUCCGGCUAACUCCGUGCCAGCAGCCGCGGUAAUACGGAGGGAGCUAGCGUUGUUCGGAAUUACUGGGCGUAAAGCGUACGUAGGCGGUUAUUCAAGUCAGAGGUGAAAGCCUGGAGCUCAACUCCAGAACUGCCUUUGAAACUAGAUAGCUAGAAUCACGGAGAGGUUAGUGGAAUUCCGAGUGUAGAGGUGAAAUUCGUAGAUAUUCGGAAGAACACCAGUGGCGAAGGCGACUAACUGGACGUGUAUUGACGCUGAGGUACGAAAGCGUGGGGAGCAAACAGGAUUAGAUACCCUGGUAGUCCACGCCGUAAACGAUGAUAACUAGCUGUUCGGUCUCUACGAGACUGAGUGGCGCAGCUAACGACAUUAAGUUAUCCGUCCGUCGGGUAGGUACGGUCGCGAAGAAUUAAAACUUAAAAUUAAGUAAGUUAGUACGGCGUGAGACGUGCCGAACGGACGACGACGAGGGAGGUAGG
rnacentral:rRNA from 1 species